rnacentral:ncRNA from 1 species
CUCUUAUCCAGAGAGGUGGAGGGAUCGGCCCUGUGAAACCUCGGCAACCCGGGAAGCAAUCCGUAAGGAAUGUUCGACGAAGGUGCCAACUCCGACAGAAAGUCGUUCUGGAAGAUGAGAG